AUACGUAGGGGGCGAGCGUUGUCCGGAAUGAUUGGGCGUAAAGGGCGCGUAGGCGGCCCGGUAAGUCUGGAGUGAAAGUCCUGUUUUUGAGAUGGGAAUUGCUUUGGAUACUGUCGGGCUUGAGUGCAGGAGAGGUAAGUGGAAUUCCCAGUGUAGCGGGGAAAUGCGUAGAGAUUGGGAGGAACACCAGUGGCGAAGGCGACUUACUGGACUGUAACUGACGCUGAGGCGCGAAAGUGUGGGGAGCAAACAGGAUUAGAUACCCUGGUAGUCCACACUGUAAACGAUGAAUGCUAGGUGUAGGGGGUAUCGACCCCUUCUGUGCCGCAGUCAACACAAUAAGCAUUCCGCCUGGGGGGUACGGCCGCAAGGUUGAAACUCAAAUGAAUUGGCGGGG
rnacentral:rRNA from 1 species